rnacentral:rRNA from 1 species
CCUACGGGCGGCAGCAGUGGGGAAUAUUGGACAAUGGGGGCAACCCUGAUCCAGCCAUGCCGCGUGUAUGAAGAAGGCCCUCGGGUUGUAAAGCACUUUCAGUGAGGAAGAACGCCUGGUGGUUAAUACCCAUCAGGAAAGACAUCACUCACAGAAGAAGCACCGGCUAACUCCGUGCCAGCAGCCGCGGUAAUACGGAGGGUGCGAGCGUUAAUCGGAAUUACUGGGCGUAAAGCGCGCGUAGGUGGCUUGAUAAGCCGGUUGUGAAAGCCCCGGGCUCAACCUGGGAACGGCAUCCGGAACUGUCAAGCUAGAGUGCAGGAGAGGAAGGUAGAAUUCCCGGUGUAGCGGUGAAAUGCGUAGAGAUCGGGAGGAAUACCAGUGGCGAAGGCGGCCUUCUGGACUGACACUGACACUGAGGUGCGAAAGCGUGGGUAGCAAACAGGAUUAGAUACCCUGGUAGUC